AGCUGAGUGUGGUCAUUGCCAUUCGAGAGAAGGCUUCCUUUCCCUUGGGUUCUCCAAGUGCUCUGAGGUGGAGUGCCUCUUGCUUUACAGAUGAUCGUGUUCUGGCUUUUAGGGGAAGCAUUCAGACUCCAAAGCUGUUGCAUGAGAUGAGUUCCUUCUUUGUUGACUGUCUAGGAUGAUGGCUCAGUUCAAGGAUGAUUGGAGGAGAGAACAGUUGCUGAAUGGUGAGUCUGUGGUGGUCCAACAGAGGCCCUGCUCAUUGUGGGGGAGUCUCAGGGGAAGACGGGUGCAGGGGAGCUGCACAAAAGGGAGACCCUCUGGCCCAAGCCUACUGACCUUUCCCAGAAACGUGAUGACCACUUUUCUUUGCACUAACUCUGGCUCUGGACGCAGCCAGAUAUGACGGCAAGUCCCAUUGAUAGUUUUCACAUCAUUGUAUUUCUGGCAUGCUCCAUCUGUUUCUUUACCACGUGUCUUUGAUGCUCAGUGAUCAACCUUCUCAACACCAACCUACACAUAUAAACUUAUGUGUAAACGCCCCCUACAUGUAUACCGUGACAUCUUAAGGUUUUCAUUUCGUUGUUAUUUCAACUGACAUUUAUCAUCCUCGCAUGUUAUUCCUUGGAUUUUUCGUAUCCUUGCUUCUCAAGCAGAAAAUUCCUUUUCACCAAAUAUAGCCUAAUAAAUAAUUAACUUGUAAAAUUUUGCUGAUUUCA
rnacentral:lncRNA from 1 species